rnacentral:lncRNA from 1 species
UUGAUGAUUGUUGGUAUUGUUGUUGUUAUAGGUGUUUGUUCGUUUCUAUGGUUGUUGUUGUUGACGUUGUUGUUGUUGAACUGGUGUUGACUGGUUUGCUGAAAACACAGGAAUUACUGAAGAUACUUGAUGAUGAUGUUGACUGAUGGUUGACUUCUUCUGAUCUGAGGCCUUCUCUGCCUCCCACUGGAAAUUGCAUUGGUU